GACGAACGCUGGCGGCGUGCUUAACACAUGCAAGUCGAACGAUGAAGCCGGAGCUUGCUCUGGUGGAUUAGUGGCGAACGGGUGAGUAACACGUGAGUAACCUGCCCUUGACUCUGGGAUAAGCGUUGGAAACGACGUCUAAUACCGGAUACGAGCUGGGACCGCAUGGUCACCAGCUGGAAAGAACUUCGGUCAAGGAUGGACUCGCGGCCUAUCAGCUAGUUGGUGAGGUAAUGGCUCACCAAGGCGACGACGGGUAGCCGGCCUGAGAGGGUGACCGGCCACACUGGGACUGAGACACGGCCCAGACUCCUACGGGAGGCAGCAGUGGGGAAUAUUGCACAAUGGGCGCAAGCCUGAUGCAGCAACGCCGCGUGAGGGACGACGGCCUUCGGGUUGUAAACCUCUUUCAGUAGGGAAGAAGCGAGAGUGACGGUACCUGCAGAAGAAGCGCCGGCUAACUACGUGCCAGCAGCCGCCGUAACAC
rnacentral:rRNA from 1 species